rnacentral:lncRNA from 10 species
GUUUGGGACCAUGAGACCUCCCACUCCUGGGGCCAGAAGGAGUUGCUGAGAAGGAGCUGUGGUUCUGACCUUCAGGGGAAUUCCCACGUCUGUAUGGUGGCUCGUGAAGAGCAUGGUUCCUUUUCUCAGCCCUCUUGAGGGGCGAGGAUGCUGAGGACUGAAGUCGGUGGGGCUUGAUGCAUGUGGUCACUGAGAGGCUGCCAGAGGGCCAUUUUCAUGACCAGAGGGAUCUGUUCAACACCCUGUGGGUCCCAGCACCUAUCUCAGGAAGCAGGGUGCAUCUGUCCACCACCAAGUCUCAGGGUGGCUGGGUGAGCGCUCAUCAGUCCCAGACAGCAGGUUGGCACAAAACGACACUGCCCACAAAACCACAGGAAGAAGAGAAACUCCGACUGUCUUUCAGCACACAGAAGACACUGUACUGGACCCGGACAUUAGGCAGACACCCACGCCUGACUUUCAGGAGAAAAGAGAACAUGACUAACGGAUAUUCUUAGUAGAUGGUUUAUUAGAAAAGAGAACAUCUUCCAGCAUGUGUCCUGGGGUGAUGGGUGUGGGAAGCACUCAGUCCAUAGUCCUGGUCCCUGGCUUCCCCAAGCCCAGCACCAUGAAUGUACAGUGGAAAGCAGAGGGUGCAGCGUCUCAGAAAGAUGCUUCCACUCACAAGGAUUGGAGCUCACAAGUGAGCUCCAUAACCUGCAAACCAGAGAAACCUGAGACACUGCCCCUUGGCCAUUUUAUCAACGGAGACUUUAUUGUGAUUAUCCCGGCAGGGGGCCGAGCUCUCCUCUCUGCAACAGGAAAUGCUCUUUAGUGAAAAUGCAGCAUUUCUCCAAGGGUAACAAAGCUGAACGCCUGCUUAGCUUAUGAACCCUCAGUUGGCCUAGGUGGUGCAAAGACCCUGCUGUUACUGCUUUGAUCAUCAGUACUGUGGACUGUACCAGGAGAUCCCUGGGAAUGUGCUCUGGGCGGAAGCAGCUUUUAUCUUUGGCCCUCACCCAUGCUUUAUAUGGUGAGGUUGGGAAAAUGGCACAAGGCUUCUCCUGAACCUCAAAUCAACACCCUUGCCCCAUUUAGAUCCUAUCUGGCUGUUUCUUGCUAAUAUUACUGCAUCACUGCACCAUCUUUCCUAUUUCAGCAAAGUGGAGUCAUGUGUGGUUUAUGGGGUAGAUGGACCCCAAAACUGAUAAUAUGAAUCAAGCUAUGGUGUUUACUCCCUAGGAAAUGCACAAUUUUUCUGGAAACCUACAGAAGCUUCAAAUGCAUUCGCCAUGCAAAGCUAAGUCAGCAGAACAACCCGUUUGGCUUUGGAGGCUAGUUCAGUUCCGCGGACAGGGAGAAAGAUGAGGCAGACUGUGGUUUUUCAGUUCCUGGAGCUUACGGAGCUCCAAAGCUCCCUCUCUUCCCACCCUGGCUGCACUGUUCUUAAUUUUAGAUAAUACCCUGCCUUCUCGUAUUGCUGCUGAGCUCCUAGCAUCCUCAGUUUAUCUGUCUGUGAAAUGAAAAAUCUAAUGUUAAAUUUUUUACCUAUGGCAUGAGAGAGAUGGCUAUGGCUCUUGUGAGCCUCUCUGCAGCCCCUCUUUUCCUUCAAUCACCCUCUGUCUCUCCUGCCUUCUGCUUAUUCUCUCUCUCCCCUCAUCCCCACUUUCCCAGUGGGUCCUCUGUUCUCUUUUUUUUUUUCUUUUUAAAUCUCUCUAUGCCUCCAGCCGAGAAGAUAAAGAGUGUACAUCUUUCUGGUUAAAAAGUUUUGCUUUGCAGAAACACAGCCAAUUUAUGAUUCUGGCCUUCCCAGCUAGGGACAGUGUUCAUUUACAUUUAGGACCAUGAGGAGAGAGGCUUAGCUGUGUGUUUCUGAGGCCGGAGAAAAUUACAGUGAUAUAUAACAGUGCUGCACUCAUAGAGGUGCUGAGCCGGGGUUGGGCUCAGGCGGCCGCUAAGCUCAGAGUGGAAAGUUUCAGAGGGGAGGCAGAAAGGAGAGGUCUAUAGCUCCUCCAGAUUCUAGGUAUUAAUUUACUAAGAUAUUCCUAAGCCAGAAAACAGAGACAGAAGACAAAGAGAAAGAGGGAAGAAGAGCAAGACAGAGAGUUAGAGAGAGACAAAGAGAGAGAGUUAGAGACAAAGAGAGAGUGGAGAGGAGAGAGAGCAAAUAUUG